rnacentral:rRNA from 1 species
AUUGAACGCUGGCGGCAUGCUUUACACAUGCAAGUCGAACGGCAACAGGCCGCAAGGUGCUGACGAGUGGCGAACGGGUGAGUAAUGCAUCGGAACGUGCCCAGUCGUGGGGGAUAACGCAGCGAAAGCUGUGCUAAUACCGCAUACGAUCUGUGGAUGAAAGCGGGGGACCGUAAGGCCUCGCGCGAUUGGAGCGGCCGAUGUCAGAUUAGGUAGUUGGUGGGGUAAAGGCUCACCAAGCCGACGAUCUGUAGCUGGUCUGAGAGGACGACCAGCCACACUGGGACUGAGACACGGCCCAGACUCCUACGGGAGGCAGCAGUGGGGAAUUUUGGACAAUGGGCGCAAGCCUGAUCCAGCAAUGCCGCGUGCAGGAAGAAGGCCUUCGGGUUGUAAACUGCUUUUGUACGGAGCGAAAAGGCUCUCUCUAAUACAGGGGGCUCAUGACGGUACCGUAAGAAUAAGCACCGGCUAACUACGUGCCAGCCGCCGCAGUAA